AAUAGAUACCCGGGUAGUCCACGCCCUAAACGAUGUCAACUAGUUGUUGGGGAUUCAUUUCUUCAGUAACGUAGCUAACGCGUGAAGUUGACCGCCUGGGGAGUACGGUCGCAAGAUUAAAACUCAAAGGAAUUGACGGGGACCCGCACAAGCGGUGGAUGAUGUGGAUUAAUUCGAUGCAACGCGAAAAACCUUACCUACCCUUGACAUGCCACUAACGAAGCAGAGAUGCAUUAGGUGCCCGAAAGGGAAAGUGGACACAGGUGCUGCAUGGCUGUCGUCAGCUCGUGUCGUGAGAUGUUGGGUUAAGUCCCGCAACGAGCGCAACCCUUGUCUCUAGUUGCUACGCAAGAGCACUCUAGAGAGACUGCCGGUGACAAACCGGAGGAAGGUGGGGAUGACGUCAAGUCCUCAUGGCCCUUAUGGGUAGGGCUUCACACGUCAUACAAUGGUGCGUACAGAGGGUUGCCAACCCGCGAGGGGGAGCUAAUCCCAGAAAACGCAUCGUAGUCCGGAUCGUAGUCUGCAACUCGA
rnacentral:rRNA from 1 species